UUUAUUACAUAGAAGAUUACAACAAGAUCCAAGACGCUCAAAUAAUAAAGAAAGCGGUGACUCCACGCUGGAAUUCGGAGAAUUACAAUUAUGUGUUAACAAUGAUGCAGAAAUAUCGUACGAUCACUUUGUGUGAUCGUACCUCGGCUCGGGACAUCCGCUUACGCAAAAGUAGCAGUCGCUCAAUGUAGAUAUCUUCUCACAUCCGUGAUGCUCGCAGAGAUUAUCGAAACGUCCGAAGAGAUCAAACUGUAUUCAUUCAAACUGUAACUUACAUAGCUAAAAAAACGACUCAACUGAAAUACAGGGGAAAAUUCUUGGAACUUACAUCGUACGAUAUUUCUGCAUCAUUGUUAACACAUAAUUGUAAUUCUCCGAAUUCCAGCGUGAAGUCACCGCCUUCUUUAUUAUUUGGGCGUCUUGGAUCUUGUUGUAAUCCUCUAUGUAAUAAACCUACAGGCAUCAUUAGAUUAUGUGAUUAUAUGUGACAAUAUUACAAAAUAUCUAUUAUUGUAAUAGGUUUAUAUUUUAUCUUAAAAUACACGAAUAAAAAGAGAUUUACUAACCCC